UUCAAUUAUUCAUAAUUCAACGAUGAUUGGAAGGAGGACGCUUCCUGAUCGUACAGUCAGCUGCAAAUCUACCUUCAUAUAUGACUGUUUGGACAAACGGCAUUAAUUCUUGCUUUAUCACGGCCGAUGGGAAACUCUGUUUUCCCUGUUAUUUAUACGGUUGCUCGGAAACGUUCGACCAUUUAUCGGGACACUGAGAAUGAUCGUGCAUCGCAAUUCCUCUUCAAAGUUUAACUGGAUCCUCAUUAAAGAAUAGUUAAAUUCUGAAGAGCUGUGUUACCAGAAUGGUCGAGAUUGAUCGUGCAUACUUGUACUUCACACUGUGGUACUUUAUCAGUUAUAAAAUUUUACAGAAAGUCUUCUAAUGUUAAAAUUCUAACUUUUCAAAACUUUGACUUAUUUACAAAAUAAUGGAGAGACUUAUAAUAUCAUGAAUAUUUCCGUGGUACGAUUUAUUAUUAAUAAAAAAUGAUGAAAUCCAUCCGAAAAGAAUUGGCGCGUUAUCCGGCGAAAAAAGUUCUUCCAUUAACAAAGCCACGGUUGAAACCAUUCGACGUUGAAACUACUUUCGCGGAAGUAACUUUAGCGAGAAAAGAGCAGAAAAGAAAAUAUCACGGCCCCGACUCGCUCUUGUAUUCGGCGAUUUACCCCGUUGUGUGCAUAAUGAAAGUGUUCGGUUUGGCGCCCUACGAUUUCACGGGUGACGAGAUAACGCCCUCGAACGUCUGCCUCCUGUUCUCGUUCGCCUUUAUUGGUAUUUAUUGCCGCAUCAUGUACAUCGUGUACAGAAGAUUCCUCAACGUAAGGAGGGACAAAGCGAUUCUCAGCGUGGUGGAAACGACCAAGGUAACCGUCAAUUACCUCGUGGCUAUGUACGAUCUAAUUUCCACGAUAUUCACGAGGAAAACGUUCAGCCGAAUUUGGAACGCUCAACAAGAUUUCGACGAGAGGCUCAGCCAAUUAGGCUAUCCACGAAAAGAGACCAAGAUCAAGAUCGCGACUUGGAUACUUUUGGCGAGUCAGAUCGUUAUUUGGACGGCUGUUAAUCAGAGUGGGAUGUUUGCUUUCGAAGAGACGUGGACGUUUAACGUGAGUUACAUGUGUAUUUAUAUCGGUAGUGCGACAGCUGUGUACAAAUUUUUCGGAAUGGCAAGCAUUCUCGGCCUCCGUUUCCAUCAGCUCAAUCAAAUCGCGAAAGAGAAUUUACCGCCCAGAGUUGGAUAUAAAAGUAGCAACAUCAGCAAAAAGACAAUCCAAGAUUUACACAACGAUUUGAUGCUAUCUAGCGAGACACUAGGUUCUCUUUACUCGUGGUCGCUAUUGUUCUGGCUUGGAAAUUUGAGUAUACACAGUGUCAGCAAUUUGUAUUUCAUCAUCGAUUGGGUCAUCUUGACACCCUGGACCAACAUUGCUUGGCCUCUCAUUAUUAACAUGUGGUGUUGGCUGAUCGGAUUUAUAACUCAACUUUUAGCCCUUCAUAUCGCUUGCGAUUAUACGAUAAACGAGGCUAAUUUUAUGGGCGCCAUUCUCAUCGAAUGGGAUGCAAGAACAAUACAAAAAUUUCCAUACGAAGAUAGUUUUCGUACUUCGUUAUACUUAUUAAACAGACGUCUUCGUUUCUCCGCUGGUGGUCUUUUCGAUAUCAAAUUGUCAUUGCUCUGCUCGAUAGUCCGUGUGAUAUCAACAUAUCUGAUAAUUCUUUUACAAUUUCCUUCAAGCUUGAAGAAUCCCGAUAAGAUUAAUUAAAUCUAUCGUCUUGGACAAAUAUUAUUCGUCGAAUAUUUUUCUCACGUAUUUGCUAUCUAGAUGAUCAAACAUACUUGAAACUACUUUCUGGUUCAAGGUCAAAUGAAUGACAGUAGGAUCGAACUCUCUUUGUCUCAAGCAUUUUUUUUUUUUUAUAUUUUUAAUAUUAUUCGAUAUAUUUGGAGAAGAGAUUAAAAUAAGAUUCUUAUAUUUUUGAAUU